GCAUCUUAUCACAGCCCCUCUGGCAUUUGCCAGAAACCACAGCUUGCCAGUCUGGGCUGGUUAUAUGAAGGGAUACAUAGGGUUCCCACAUGUUUAGACAGUGAAAUGUUAGACCUAAUUUGCAUAAGGGGGGGGUGAGUCCUUUGUUCUGUGCAGUGUGCUCUGGCAGAUUCCAGGUUUGGCCAGAAAGUGUCACUGUUGAGUCAUAUCUGCAUAAAGCUGAGCUGCCAUGUGCUCACUCAGUCUACUUCCUGGUUUUACUUCGGGUGCAUGGACACUGGGCAAAGCUGUAUGGGCCUGAAGUCUACAGAGGAGCGUUCAGUCUGUGCAGCUCUGGGAAACCAUGUUGCUACAUGUGAGACCGGACUUGCUGCAGGCUUCUGUACUACCACAAUGGCGGCGGCUGCUGCUGGAGGGCCUCGCAUCCGGCUGCUCCAAGGACUUUUAACCCCAGCAGGAAGACCAGAUCCGAGACCAGAUUUCUGCGGGGCUGGAGAUGCCCCUGAAUAAGGUACGGCUAGAGAGGUGCAUUGUGCUGAAGAACAAACUCCUGCAAUCCAAGUCUCCUGUUCUAGAAGAAGUGAGCAUCUAAGGCCAAUGGAGGCCAAAGUGUUGGUUGCUUAUGCCUGACUGAUUCUGGAAGUAGAAGACUGCCUUUAAUAUGCUUUUAGGCUAGAGAAGGGCAUUGUGUUGGGAAGAACAAACCCAUCCAAAAUCUGCGUAUCCUGUCGAAGGGAGUGUCGGUGGAGACUAGUGUUGGAUGCUCACACCUAAUUGUCACUUGAUAUCUGCUCAUGUAUUUGACAAACCUCGGGGGAGAAAUCUCAUCUUGUAACUCCUAUCUGUGAAUUUAGUACAAAUAAAGUGAUACCCUAAAAAAUGAA